rnacentral:lncRNA from 1 species
GCAACGUGUUUGGGAACCCAGUGGAGACCCCCACACCCACGGCCACGGCCACCAAAGGCAGCAGCAGCAGCACGGCAGCCACCUGGGCCAUCGAAGCCACCAGCAGCGCCAAGCCAACGCCAAAGACAUCUGGUAAUCGCUCCCCUCGCUCCCCCCGUGAUUCCCAGCAGCAUUUGCAUUAAUAACCAGAUUUGUUAAGUCCACAGUUUGCCCUAAGAAACCGCGUAGUUGAUGCAUGGGUUGUGCUCUCAAAAAAGAGCCUGAGUCUGGUCAAAAGCUCUAAUCCUGCCCAGAAAAUCCCACCUGGGGCAGCCUGACGCCCCUUAGACCCAUCCUUUCCCAAGAGAUGAUGGGACAAAAUGGCUCAUUAAUCUUUUAUCUCACAAUACCCAUUCUCUGCUCAGCAAACGGCACCCAUAAGAGGUCUGCCAGCCCUUCGGGUGAGCUCAGGAGCAGGGAACCUUGCACAGAUGUACUUUUCUUCCGCUUGAUUUUGGAGACUCCGGGUCCAGGGGGAGAGGAGGGCGAUGCAGGGGAGGUCGGGCAGUGGCAUCCUUGCUGUGGUGCCGCGUGUGCCCAGGAAAUUAGCCCAUUGUAAACAGAUUAUGAAGCGCGUGUAACAAUUAAGUAACUGAAGCAAGUCUAAUGCGCAUUUCUUAUACAGCCACUAACACGUUCUGGUACCCCUGGCUAUGACAAAUCAAUAUUGUACUUCAGUCAGCGCAAUGCCACGCAUUGAUUGUAGAGGACUUAAGCUUUCUCGUGUCUCCUUUUCAUUGCAUCUCUUCCAAACCGAAGCUGCGGCCGGGUCCCUGGCAGCCAGUCCCACCUCCCCAGGGCUCAGCAGCGAGCAGUCCAGCCCCCAGCCCAGCCGAGCCCCCACGCAGCCGCUGGGCACCCCCUCGGAGCCAGCCCACAUCAGCCAAGGGGUCCCCUCAACCGAGAGCCCCACGCCACGACCCAGCACGGCGGCAGAAACCCCCGGCUCCACGUCAGCUCUGACGAGCUCCUCUGCCACCUCGGAGCAUCCUCACGUCGCCGCUGCCACCACACCACUGCCCACAGGCAGGGACAGCCCGAAGCCCAUCAUCACGUGCCACAAUGUCAAAGAACUGAGUGACACUGGAGCCAUCUGCUUGCAGCUCAACGAGUCCAUCACUUGCGUGAGUUGUAGCCCGGGGCAGAUGCGUGUCUCUGAGUCGGGGGGGGACAUACAGGAGGAGGGGGGCUGCCAGCAAACAGCCAAGGGCAGGGUCCUGCAGCACCCUCAGCCUUGCAGUGA